CACCGUUGCACUUCCUCUUCUAUUUCUUUCAGAUGGUACAAAGUUACAAAAAACUGAGAUCCCAAAAAACAGCAUCAGCUGGUCCAGGACAAACUAGUACUUCAUCCACAGAAGAUAAAAGCUUCUCCUAGUCAGCAUGGCUUUGAUUUGGAUGAACUUUUAAGCUCUACUCCAGAACUCAAAUCUGACCCCCAAAUGCAAAACAGCCCCUUGAAUACCACCCUCGAGCGCAACACGGUCUCCCUUUUCGCUGAAGUUUCAGGCCUCAGCCCAGACCUCCUCACAGAUAUGGAUGAUGGUGCUGAUUUGCAGGGUAAAUAUAAUGUUUCUUUCUGCAUUUUUCCCUGCUGGGAUUUAGAAUUCAGGAAUCCUAGCUUGAUUGUCAUUCCCCAAAAAAACCCUUGUUAUUUCCUUUCCACGGGACAUUCUGAUUUGGAUGCAUAAAGAGCAGAUGUCAGCUGAUGUCCAUGUCUACUGUUUUUUGUAGGGGAUACCUUAGAAACCUUGAUAGCAGAAAACACUCAGCUUCAAGAAGCA
rnacentral:lncRNA from 1 species